UUGAACGCUGGCGGCAGGCCUAACACAUGCAAGUCGAACGGUAACAGGAAGAAGCUUGCUUCUUUGCUGACGAGUGGCGGACGGGUGAGUAAUGUCUGGGAAACUGCCUGAUGGAGGGGGAUAACUACUGGAAACGGUAGCUAAUACCGCAUAACGUCGCAAGACCAAAGAGGGGGACCUUCGGGCCUCUUGCCAUCGGAUGUGCCCAGAUGGGAUUAGCUAGUAGGUGGGGUAACGGCUCACCUAGGCGACGAUCCCUAGCUGGUCUGAGAGGAUGACCAGCCACACUGGAACUGAGACACGGUCCAGACUCCUACGGGAGGCAGCAGUGGGGAAUAUUGCACAAUGGGCGCAAGCCUGAUGCAGCCAUGCCGCGUGUAUGAAGAAGGCCUUCGGGUUGUAAAGUACUUUCAGCGGGGAGGAAGGGAGUAAAGUUAAUACCUUUGCUCAUUGACGUUACCCGCAGAAGAAGCACCGGCUAACUCCGUGCCAGCAGCCGCGGUAAUACGGAUGGUGCAAGCGUUAAUCGGAAUUACUGGGCGUAAAGCGCACGCAGGCGGUUUGUUAAGUCAGAUGUGAAAUCCCCGGGCUCAACCUGGGAACUGCAUCUGAUACUGGCAAGCUUGAGUCUCGUAGAGGGGGGUAGAAUUCCAGGUGUAGCGGUGAAAUGCGUAGAGAUCUGGAGGAAUACCGGUGGCGAAGGCGGCCCCCUGGACGAAGACUGACGCUCAGGUGCGAAAGCGUGGGGAGCAAACAGGAUUAGAUACCCUGGUAGUCCACGCCGUAAACGAUGUCGACUUGGAGGUUGUGCCCUUGAGGCGUGGCUUCCGGAGCUAACGCGUUAAGUCGACCGCCUGGGGAGUACGGCCGCAAGGUUAAAACUCAAAUGAAUUGACGGGGGCCCGCACAAGCGGUGGAGCAUGUGGUUUAAUUCGAUGCAACGCGAAGAACCUUACCUGGUCUUGACAUCCACGGAAGUUUUCAGAGAUGAGAAUGUGCCUUCGGGAACCGUGAGACAGGUGCUGCAUGGCUGUCGUCAGCUCGUGUUGUGAAAUGUUGGGUUAAGUCCCGCAACGAGCGCAACCCUUAUCCUUUGUUGCCAGCGGUCCGGCCGGGAACUCAAAGGAGACUGCCAGUGAUAAACUGGAGGAAGGUGGGGAUGACGUCAAGUCAUCAUGGCCCUUACGACCAGGGCUACACACGUGCUACAAUGGCGCAUACAAAGAGAAGCGACCUCGCGAGAGCAAGCGGACCUCAUAAAGUGCGUCGUAGUCCGGAUUGGAGUCUGCAACUCGACUCCAUGAAGUCGGAAUCGCUAGUAAUCGUGGAUCAGAAUGCCACGGUGAAUACGUUCCCGGGCCUUGUACACACCGCCCGUCACACCAUGGGAGUGGGUUGCAAAAGAAGUAGGUAGCUUAACCUUCGGGAGGGCGCUUACCACUUUGUGAUUCAUGACUGGGGUG
rnacentral:rRNA from 1 species